AUUGAACGCUGGCGGCAUGCCUUACACAUGCAAGUCGAACGGCAGCACGGGAGCAAUCCUGGUGGCGAGUGGCGAACGGGUGAGUAAUAUAUCGGAACGUACCCAGUAGUGGGGAUAGCCCGGCGAAAGCCGGAUUAAUACCGCAUGAGACCUGAGGGUGAAAGCGGGGGAUCGCAAGACCUCGCGCUAUUGGAGCGGCCGAUAUCAGAUUAGCUAGUUGGUGGGGUAAAGGCCUACCAAGGCAACGAUCUGUAGUUGGUCUGAGAGGACGACCAGCCACACUGGGACUGAGACACGGCCCAGACUCCUACGGGAGGCAGCAGUUGGGAAUCUUGGACAAUGGGGGAAACCCUGAUCCAGCCAUGCCGCGUGAGUGAUGAAGGCCUUCGGGUUGUAAAACUCUUUCGUACGGGGACGGAUAAUGACGGUACCCGUACGAAGAAGACUCCGGCGUAACUUCGUGUCCAGCAGCCGCGGUAA
rnacentral:rRNA from 1 species